AUACAUAUGUGUUACCUGUUAACACAUAUUUUGUAUGUAAUACAUAGUAUAUACUGUAUUCAUACAAUAAAGCAAGAUAGAUAAAAAAAUUA